UGCACAGUGGCUCAACGGUAGAGCACCCCGCCGUUAACGGGUUGGUUAUAGGUUCGAUUCCUAUCUGUGCAG
rnacentral:tRNA from 1 species